CUUCCAGAUGAACGCUGCAUGCUGCUUCCAUGAUAGUCCUAUGUACCAGCAGGUGAGAGAGAGAGAGAGCAUCAGUAUCAUCAACGCACCACGGUCUUGUCGUCGUCUCCACCAGUUCCCCGCCUUGGGUGCUGCAGCGUGCCCAGGCACCCCGAGCAUGGCGUCGCGGCGGCCUGAGCCUGCGCCCACCGACGGCAGCCUCCAUGGAUACGAGGAACGGGUCUGGUUGCUCUCACUUAUGCAUACCAGGUGCUUAAUGGAAUUACCCAUAAAAAGAACUAUUCUUUACAUUGAUCUACUGUGAGGUCUGUAAAAUAGAUUUCUUUCCUAUCAAGUAAUUAAUUUUGCUUGUUUGCUCGACCUUCGAUACACUUAGACACUAGCUGUGCCUUCUAAAUUAACUGUAUUUGUUAUUACUGUAUGUGGUUUUGGAGGUUUCAGGGCACAAUUUUUUCAAGAAUUGAAGGGAUCAUAAUCUUCCUACAAUAUCUCAAAAAGUAUGCUUGGAUGCUGAGAUUCAGGUACGAAGACACUUCAGUUGUUUUUGGUUGUUUUCACUUUAGGGGGCAAAUGAAUGACGAUUCGCAAUUUACUUCUGUUCAACUAAUCUUCUUGUCUUAGUAAAUACUGUAGUGUUCCUGUACUGUUGAAGAAUCUAGAUCAUCGUGAAUUAACUCUCCUGUGCAACUUUCACAUAUCAGUUAUCACAUUGACUGAAGAAGCAUGUGUUGUGUUCUAUCAUUUUUUAACCUGAAAAAGGAAAACUUCUGCAACUGUAAUCCUAAGUAACCUGAAUCUGCACCAUGUCAAUGUCAAUUACUAGCUCUUACGGUUAUUUCCUUCUUGAUAUAUAUAAAAAACACAUGCAGGUCUGAUUGUUUCCUUGUCGAUGAAAUUCCUCAUCCCUUGGCAGUUGAUGUAUGAGCUGCUACUUAACAAGUGGGUGUAGGCUGAUAACGUGUGAUUUGGUGCACAGGUGUUGCGAUUAGCUGGUUGCUUGGCAUUUGUGUGCCCAGGUAGGAUGUUGCUCGGCGAGGCAUGCAGCAAGGGCCCUGGACCGAUAAAGAUCCCCCUUUUUAUUUCUACGUCCUUGAUGUAGCAAGAGCCCCUUUUGAUGAGCCUGGUCUCUAUAUUUUGGAUUGCUCUUCUUUAGAUUAGUCAGUACCCUCUUAUCAAAAUGGUGGUGAAUGUAGAUAGGCUCACAAUGUUAUUUCUUAUAUGCGUGUUGUCCAUUUGUAUGGCCCUUAGAUUGACAUUAUUCAGAAGUUAUAGAAAACACCAUGUUAGUUUAUAGACAUUCCAUUGAAAAAUUGGUUGUUGACUGUCUUACAAAUUAUACAAGAGCAGAUGAGUAUAAUAUCUUUGUGAUGCGGGAAAUAUGACUGAUGUGUUCAGAUUUCAGGCGGAAGGUCGGGAUCCAAUGGAAGGGAGCACCCUCCCUCCAUCUGGCUCGACCCAGAGGGAGCACAUUAUGGGCAUGAUCUAUCCAUGUGGUGCUGGGCGUACAACAUGAUGCAUCCGUGUCUCCCCUCUGUUGCAUAUAUAGGCUAGGACUGCACAUGUCACAACACGGAUUUUGUAAUGAAGGAGAACACUACAUGAUCGGCUCAAUUUCCCUCCAUUGUCCGGUGCACAUGUUUUUUCAUGGGCUUCAAUUAUCCUAUUUCUCCCAGUCGGCCCGCACGAGGAGGCAGCCUAUAGGAGGAUGGGCAAGCCUCCAACACGAGUAGUAUUGACCUUAUGAUAGCAAGCAAACUGGAGGAAAGGAGGCAUGAUGGGAGAAUCUGAUGGGACGGACUAGAACCAUUCACGCGCCUAAGGUUUGGCAAGCUGCAAGCACUACCCAGGUUUUUGAGGUCUUGAUGAAAUCUUUCUAAUUGCAUUGAGUAAGCUGAGUGUUUUGUGUUUAUUUUGAGUCUGACCGAGGGACAAGUGUAUAUUUAAAUGGCUAACAUUUGAUUUUGUAGUUAACUUUAGUGCUGGACUGCUGGUCUCAACAUCUCAAUUACAUCCGCAUCAAUAGCUUAUUUAUAAUUAAGAUGUAUGUUGUGUGUGUAAAUGCCAAAAAACCCCGAGGUACAGGUGCUAGAUUCUUUGGGGUGCUGCAUUUGGACGAAAGGACUCAAAACUAUUGUACAUUUUUUCUAACAUAAAUAUAUGUUUCUCCACUAUUAUUCUGCA